GGCCUAACACAUGCAAGUCGAACGCUGUAGCAAUACAGAGUGGCAGACGGGUGAGUAACGCGUGGGAACAUGCCCUUCGGUUCGGAAUAACUCAGAGGAAACUUGAGCUAAUACCGGAUACGCCCUUAGGGGGAAGAUUUAUUGCCGAAGGAUUGGCCCGCGUCCGAUUAGCUAGUUGGUGAGGUAAUGGCUCACCAAGGCGACGAUCGGUAGCUGGUCUGAGAGGAUGAUCAGCCACACUGGGACUGAGACACGGCCCAGACUCCUACGGGAGGCAGCAGUGGGGAAUAUUGGACAAUGGGCGCAAGCCUGAUCCAGCCAUGCCGCGUGAGUGAUGAAGGCCCUAGGGUUGUAAAGCUCUUUCGCCAGGGACGAUAAUGACGGUACCUGGAUAAGAAGCCCCGGCUAACUUCGUGCCAGCAGCCGCGGUAAUACGAAGGGGGCUAGCGUUGUUCGGAAUCACUGGGCGUAAAGCGCACGUAGGCGGAUCUCUAAGUCAGGGGUGAAAUCCCGAGGCUCAACCUCGGAACUGCCUUUGAUACUGGAGGUCUCGAGUCCGGGAGAGGUGAGUGGAACUGCGAGUGUAAGGUGAAAUUCGUAGAUAUUCGCAAGAACACCAGUGGCGAAG
rnacentral:rRNA from 1 species